rnacentral:rRNA from 1 species
UACGUAGGGUGCGAGCGUUAAUCGGAAUUACUGGGCGUAAAGCGUGCGUAGGCGGUUCUGAAAGUCAGCUGUGGAAGCCCCGGGCUUAACCUGGGAAUGGCGGUUGAAACUAGAGGACUAGAAUCUGGCAGAGGGGGGUGGAAUUCCACGUGUAGCAGUGAAAUGCGUAGAGAUGUGGAGGAAUACCGAUGGCGAAGGCAGCCCCCUGGGAUAACACUGACGCUCAUGUACGAAAGCGUGGGUAGCAAACAGG